rnacentral:lncRNA from 1 species
CGUCUGUGUGUCCUGGUGUUGGUGUCUGAGCACAUGUGUGCCUGCGUGUCCUGCUGUUUGAGCAUAUGUGUGCCUGCGUGUCCUGCUGUUUGAGCAUAUGUGUGCCUGCGUGUCCUGGUGUUGGUGUCUGAGCACGUGUGUGCCUGCGUGUCCUGGUGUUGGUGUCUGAGCACACGUGUGCCUGCGUGUCCUGGUGUUGGUGUCUGAGCACACGUGUGCCUGCGUGUCCUGGUGUUGGUGUCUGAGCACGUGUGUGCCUGCGUGUCCUGGUGUUGGUGUCUGAGCACGUGUGCCUGCGUGUCCUGGUGUUGGUGUCUGAGCACACGUGUGUCUGCGUGUCCUGGUGUUGGUGUCUGAGCACGUGUGUGCCUGCGUGUCCUGGUGUUGGGGUGUGUGCACAUGUCUGUGUGUCAGUCGUGUCUCAUGUCUUGGUGGGUGUCAGGAGGAGUCGUGAUUUCUCGGAGCUGGGUUGGAGGGACAGUGGAGUGUUUCCCUCUAUUGCACGGAUGGUUCCUUGGGAGGACAAAGCCGCACAGCAGUGCCUGCAGGAGCAGAGACGGCCACGAUUCUCCCUCCUCCUGUGGCCUCUCCGCAGUCUCCUCUUCCAUGGCCUCUGAACCUUCUCAUCAGCAGCUGUUUGCUUAAACAUGGGAAUCUCAGCAUGAAUCAAGGGGCAAUGUGCAUCCGUGUCCUCUGGACCCGAGCCAGGCCUGGAGAUGGUGUGCUGCUUACCCCUGCACCCCGCAGGGCCGACGAGGCCACCAUUUCUGUGGGAAACUUACAGGAUGAGCAGGGAGGUUGAGGGAAACGGGGAGUGCGUUUUGGAUGUGGG